rnacentral:tRNA from 1 species
UAAGCUUCAGUUAAUAGUAAUAUAACCUUGUCAAGGUUGUGAGUUAUGGCUUAA